rnacentral:lncRNA from 1 species
GAAAUCUAAUUUUGAUAUAUGUGCAUCACUCAUUAUGGAAAUGAGUUGUUCUAGAAGCACCUGUAGUAUGCUAGGAUUCAUUAUAGGCGUACACACCGUUCCAUGUUCGGGCGUAUUGGUAAAGUGAUAAGUGUGUACCCAUAUAUAACCGUUCUGUGUUCGGGUAUAUGAAAAAACAAUCUGAUCUACAUGUCAUAAUCGUUCCAUAUUCCCCCUAACAAUAUUUCAAAGUACUUAUAUAUGUCGUUCCGUUUCCGGUACAUGGGGAACUAGUGAUAAGUAUUUAUGCCUAAGCAUAAUGUAUGAGAAUUGAUU